rnacentral:rRNA from 1 species
UACGGGGGGGGCAAGCGUUGUUCGGAAUUACUGGGCGUAAAGAGCGCGUAGGUGGCCAACUAAGUCAGACGUGAAAUCCCUCGGCUUAACCGGGGAACUGCGUCUGAUACUGGAUGGCUUGAGUUUGGGAGAGGGAUGCGGAAUUCCAGGUGUAGCGGUGAAAUGCGUAGAUAUCUGGAGGAACACCGGUGGCGAAGGCGGCAUCCUGGACCAACACUGACGCUGAGUGAGCGAAAGCCAGGGGAGCAAACGGG